AUUGUUUGCUGUGAAAUUCUCUUAAAACCCAAAGUCGUAACUAGUAAACCUGCAGAAGACCACGAUCUCGACCUGAUGAUAACUCCCCAGUUCUUCCCACCUCCCUCAACUAUCCUCUUUCUUCGAUUAUGGAUGCUAUAAAAACAAUCGAUACCUUGAAACCGUAUACACAGAGAAGAUUAUACUUCAGGUCAGAUUUGGAAGAAGGAAAUCAUCAAUUUCAUUAUCCUCUGCAGGACAUCAUCAAUUUUAUCUGCACAAGCUGGUAAGAAGUUUAAUUUCUUGUUCCUUGGUUUCCUGCUGCAAUUGUCAUCCAUUUUUAGUUUCUUUUAGAUCAAAGUUCGAUUUUUGUUUUGAAAUUCCAGCUAAUGUUCUUGCUUUAUAACAUCAAAUAUACUAGGUUUUUGAAAUUUCUAAUUCAAGUGUAAUUGCAAAACCCAGUAUGCAUGUCUUUCUAGGUUAGUCAAAUACUAUUUUUGGUUAUUCGCAGAGAAUGUUGUUUUUUCAGUAAGAGAUGUGCAUCUGGAUGUGUAGUAAGUCUCCAUUUUAAUGAACCCAGUUAUUUGAGGGUAGGUUGUUGGCUUAAAUAUCACGAGUUUAUGAAAAUUGCUUUUCUGUUUGGUAUUCUCACUCUAAAAAGAAAGGAAAAACCAUGGACAAGUGCACUACUUGCGGGUCUUCAAGGUGGAAGAUAGUGAGACCUAAUACUCCUUCUAAUAUACUCCGCCACUUCCCAUUAAAAGGAUUCAGCCUUUGUUUAUGUCUUCCAAAACUUCAAAGGACAUGAGAUGGCAUAAAGAACGGCGAACUGAUACUUAUGAUCCAAGUAGUCCAGUGAACCAUAUUUAUGUGUACUUGAGACCCUUGAUUGAAGAACUUAAAGAGCUAUAGGAAGGAGGAGUUGAUACUUAAAGAGAUUCUUUUAGAUCCAAAUUUAGAUUUUUGUUUUAAAAUUCCAGUUAAUGUUAAUCCGAGUCUAUGAAUUACAAAAUACUUUUCAUCUUGAAUGCAUAUUUGGUGAAAAAAUCUCAGUUUUGGUCACUACUUGUAUAGCACAGUCCCUUUAUUUUCCCUUCUUUAUUAUCUUAGGAGUUAAGGACAUUAUCAAUAUGGUUAACUGACCCCUAUUUUCUUUUGUCAAUGGAUUUUUCGUUCUUUUUAUGCA